CUCGUAGGCGGUUGGGUAAGUCGGGUGUGAAAACUCCAGGCUCAACUUGGAGACGCCACCCGAUACUGCUCUGACUUGAGUUCGGUAGGGGAGUGGGGAAUUCCUGGUGUAGCGGUGAAAUGCGCAGAUAUCAGGAGGAACACCGGUGGCGAAGGCGCCACUCUGGGCCGAAACUGACGCUGAGGAGCGAAACGGUGGGUGGUCAAACAC
rnacentral:rRNA from 1 species